UACGUAGGGUGCAAGCGUUGUCCGGAUUUAUUGGGUUUAAAGGGUGCGUAGGCGGCCUGUUAAGUCAGUGGUGAAAUCCAACAGCUCAACUGUUGAUGUGCCAAUGAUACUGACGGGCUUGAGUACAGACGAGGUAGGCGGAAUUGACAGUGUAGCGGUGAAAUGCAUAGAUAUUGUCAAGAACACCGAUAGCGAAGGCAGCUUGCUAGCCUGUAACUGACGCUGAUGCACGAAAGUGUGGGGAUCAAACAGG
rnacentral:rRNA from 1 species